ensembl:lncRNA
UUGCGCAAUAAAUGGUUUUAAUAUACUUGCAAGGAGAGAGUACGCAGGUUACAAAGUAACAGUGAAUAGUCUCUAAAUAAAACAUCAUUUCGACAGUAUUUAUUACAUAGAAAAAGGGGUGUGGUAAGAUGCUGCCAUCUGUCUCAUGUCAAUCAAACACAUUCCCUUUGUUCAAUCACACAAGUCAAAUGCUAUCUUCCCCCACCUUAUCCUUACUGCCCCCUGUUGUGUAUCUUCCCCUAUCCUGUCCUAAAACCCAUUGAUCUGUAUCUACCCCCAUCCUGCUGGAGCUUCAUGUUUACCUCAACACCUCAUACUUCCUUUCCCACAGCACAACCAACAUUCCUUUUCUCAUUUAAACAGUAGGUCAGUCGUCUAAUCAGUUAGAAUACAUUAUUAAAGACAUUUCCACAACAGCACCCCGUACGGAUUAUCUAAUUACAACUGUCAAAACUGUUAUUCCUGUGAUUCUGACUAAGAUUAUACAAGAUUACAAAUUAUUCACAAACAGAAUAUUCACAAACUGCAUAUAUUGUGGUGUAUCAAGGUCGGGGUAUGUCAAAGGAUCGGACACCGGCAGAUAUCGGGUUGUAUCACGUUGUGUUGAAGGAUCUGAAACAGCAGAUCUGCAGAUCUGAAGUAGCAGAUAUCGGGUUGUAUCAUGUGUUGAAGGAUCUGAAACAGCAGAUAUCGGGUUGUAUCAUGUUGUGUUGAAGGAUCUGAAAUAGCAGAUAUCGGGUUGUAUCAUGUUGUGUUGAAGGAUCUGAAACAGCAGAUAUCGGGUUGUAUCGCGUUGUGUUGAAGGAUCAGAAACAGCAGGUGUCGGGUUGUAUCACGUUGUGUUGAAGGAUCUGAAACAGCAGGUGUCGGGUUGUAUCACGUUGUGUUGAAGGAUCUGAAACAGCAGGUGUCGGGUUGUAUCACGUUGUGUUGAAGGAUCUGAAACAGCAGGUGUCGGGUUGUAUCACGUUGUGUUGAAGGAUCUGAAGUAGCAGAUAUCGGGUUGUAUCAUGUUGUGUUGAAGGAUCUGAAACAGCAGGUGUCGGGUUGUAUCACGUUGUGUUGAAGGAUCUGAAACAGCAGGUGUCGGGUUGUAUCACGUUGUGUUGAAGGAUCUGACACAUUAUGUAUCUAAGCUGUAUCAAGAUCUAUCCACUGAGUCCGACACAAGGUGGUCCAUUUUUUGGUGUGUCUUAUGUGAUGGUAAUUUCUUAAGUCCAAAUAGUUCUAUGAAAAUGGUAGGUAAGACAGGAGAAAUCAAUUGCACAAUAAACGGUUUAAUAUACUUGCAAGGAGAGAGUACGCAGGUUACAAAGUAACAGUGAAUAGUCUCUAAAGUACAUUCAAUACAUUCAAUACUUACAGAGAAAUGGGUGGGGUUAGGAACCCACAUGGUCGCACCAUAAAACCACAUAUGUUCCUUAUCCUUCCUACCCCCUGUUGUGUAUCUUCCCCUAUCCUGUCCUAAAACCCAUUGAUCUGCAUCUACCCCCGUCCUGCUGGAGCUUCAUGUUUACCUCAACACCUCAUACUUCCUUUCCCACAGCACAACCAACAUUCCUUUUCUCAUCUAAACAGUUGCUCAGUCGUUUAAUCAGUUAGAAUACAGUAUUAAAGAAAUUUCCACAACACUUAACAUGUCUAAGUUUUGAAACGGCCACUGUCUGAAAUGGAAAUAUUCCAAUACACAUUGACACACAAUAUGUCUGAAUGUAUCACAAUGUUUCUGAUCUUGAUACAGGGCAAUUUUAUGCAGUGAUGGCAACCAAUGAUGCGCUCUGCUGACUUCACCACCCUGACUUCAUUAUGAGUACAUGUAUAAUACUGUUAGUGUUAAGCAUUAUGGCCUUUAAAUAAAGUGUUACCAAAAAAUCUAUUAGACCUGCUUGACAUAGCAUUAUUACUCUGCAAUCAACAUGGUAUACAUGGGAAGCUUUAUGGAUACAAAGUAAUGCAUCUUAAUAAAUGCAUCCAAGUAGAAUAUGUGACCCAUAUUGAAAAUAAAUAAAAUUGUAAAAGUAGUUUUUUUUAAACAUUUUUGGGAUACAUUUAAAAAUAACAAUAAUUGGUCAAUUAAUGUAUUUAAGAAAAUUAAAUUAAUACAUUUAGAAUACUGUGGAAAAUGUAUUUAUUACUAUGUCCUUAUUUAUUCAUUAUUCUGUUAGGAGGUAUUUUGUAAUCUGUAUGCUUGAAACUUUACGUAUACUAAAAGACUUGUCUUUCUCUGUCUCCAACUUAUAAUGCCAGUAUCUGUGUUCAGGGGCAGUAAUGAGUGGAAUGUCAGGGCCUUGGCUUAUUGUCUACAGAGAGACAGGCCUAGGACCUGUGCAAUAAAACUGACAUAAGAACUGUUCUCUAGGAGGAAGCUCUUAAGCAGCAGUGGGCUUAGAAACAGUUUCUUUACAUCUGCUGUAACCCUGCAGAACUCUGUCCAGGCCCUUUACUAACCACAUCCCCCGCCUCUCAGGGACCUUGUUGCACUACUUCCUUAGUACUACUGGACUCUGACACUGCCUUGCAAAGUGUAAUGAGGAUGUUUUUCAGUUGUUACAGGACAUAUUUAUCUCUGGAACCUAACUGCUGCUAUUCCUGCAUUUCAGUUGCACAUGCACAUUUGCGCCUUCAAUUUACCCUCAUUGCACAUCUAGAAUGCCACUUAGAAUUGCCAUUGUACUUGAAUCUUUCAGUUACAUUGCUGCCAUCUUUUCUUUCCUGUACCAUCCUCAUUCAAUCUGCCUUAAUUGCACAUCUAGAAUGCCAUUUAGAAUUGCCAUUUGUACCCGCACAACAAUUUAUACCACUUGUUACAUACACUAUAUUUAAUAUUUAUAAAUGUUCUGCCCUCCUGUAUUUUGUCUUACUUGCACGUUUAGUAUUGCCAUUCGUACUGCAUUUGCCUUCAUUGCACAUUUAUACAUUCCACUUGUAAUAUACAUACACUUAAUACUUGUACUUUGUACUGUACUUGUACUUGUUCAGUGACAAUAAAGUUGAAUUCUAUCUAAUCAUUUUGUGGAUCCACUAUAUUAAACUUGAAGUAAUCUACUGUUAUA